UGCAAGCACUUUUAUUGUCACUCAGCUAAGAUGGUAUUGCUUGGGUUCUGGUGGCUCCUAUCUGUCUAUCUUCUGUUCUGGUGUUGUGAUGCCAGGCCACUAGUGAGUCAGAUCGACUACAACUCGUGUGAUUGUCCGGACAAGGGCCGUCAUAUUCAUCUCUGCAAGGAAGUUCAGAUAUUGUGUCCAGUUCUGGAAUCUUGGGAAGUUUAUAAGUGGGGAUAAUAUUAAGUGUGGAUGAUACGGAAAUGAUGUUUCAAUGGAAAAAACCUGGAGUUUGUGUCCUUUCUCAAGACAUUGACAAGGACAUAAUGGAGGAUGUGGAGAACAGAAUCUUAUAUGUCACCUCAAAUAUAUAUAAGAAUCUUGCUAAGGAUCCUGAGUUGAGACAUGGCUACAUUGUCUCUACAGUCUCUGAAGCACUAAACUUUCCUUGUCAUGUUUCAUGGUAAUAUGUU